rnacentral:rRNA from 1 species
AAAAUCAAUCAUCUUAUAUCAAACCAAAAUAAAACAAUUAAAUAAAUAAUAGCUAAUAAAUACACAUUUAUAAAGUACAGUAAUGGAAACACCAAUUAAUCAAAGUAGAUUAUACCAACGUACCUUGUGCAUUAUGGUUUUACAAGAAUAUAAUUAAAAAUAAUUGCCCGAAUUCUUAACGAGCUGCAUAAAUGCUGUUUAGAACUUACUAGUAACUGUAGCACCAGUUUUAGAAGACAUUAAUGCAGAGGCUACAUACCAGCCGCGUAGGAAAAUUGCUGGUUCUCAAUAAAACUUAUAUAUUAAAACAUGCAUAACUAUACAGUGUAAAACCAUUGAGGAUAAGCCCAAUGAUAAUAACAAUAUAUAAACUAUAAAAAUAUAAUAUAGGCCUAAAACCAGCCAAACAAAAUACUUCAUCGUAUAAUAUAAGAGUAAAUUAAUAGAUCAAUAUGUGACCCAUAACUGAGAUAUAGAUAUAAAUAUAAUUAACCUAUUUUAAUAUGUAAAAAUUAGUAUUACUUAAUAAAGCAAAAAUAUUCAAGAAUUCAAAAAAAUUAAAAAUAACUAAAUAAGGAACUCGGCAAAAAUUACUUUCGACUGUUUAACAAAAACAUUGCUUCUUGUAACAAUAUAAGAAGUACCUCCUG